AGGACGAACGCUGGCGGCGUGCUUAACACAUGCAAGUCAAGGGGGAGUCGCAAGACUCAACCGGCGAACGGGUGCGUAACACGUGAGCGACCUACCUAAUUGUGGGGGAUAGCCGGCCCAACGGCCGGGUAAUACCGCAUACGACCGGAGAGGGGCAUCCCUUUCCGAGGAAAGCCUUCGGGCGCAAUUCGAGGGGCUCGCGGCCUAUCAGCUAGUUGGCGGGGUAACGCCCACAAGGCAACGCGGGUAG
rnacentral:rRNA from 1 species